CGGCAAUGGAGGAAACUCUGACCGAGCAACGCCGCGUGAACGAUGAAGUAUUUCGGUACGUAAAGUUCUUUUAUUAGGGAAGAAUAAAUGAUGGAAAAAUCAUUCUGACGGUACCUAAUGAAUAAGCCCCGGCUAACUAUGUGCCAGCAGCCGCGGUAAUACAUAGGGGGCAAGCGUUAUCCGGAAUUAUUGGGCGUAAAGGGUGCGUAGGCGGUUAAAUAAGUUUAUGGUCUAAGUGCAAUGCUCAACAUUGUGAUGCUAUAAAAACUGUUUAGCUAGAGUAAGAUAGAGGCAAGUGGAAUUCCAUGUGUAGUGGUAAAAUGCGUAAAUAUAUGGAGGAACACCAGUAGCGAAGGCGGCUUGCUGGGUCUUUACUGACGCUGAGGCACGAAAGCGUGGGGAGCGAACAGGAUUAGAUACCCUGGUAGUCCACGCCGUAAACGAUGAGUACUAAACGUUGGGUAAAACCAGUGUUGAAGUUAACACAUUAAGUACUCCGCCUGAGUAGUACGUACGCAAGUAUGAAACUUAAAGGAAUUGACGGGACUCCGCACAAGCGGUGGAUCAUGUUGUUUAAUUCGAAGGUACCCGAAAAACCUCACCAGGUCUUGACAUGCUUCUGCAAAGCUGUAGAAACACAGUGGAGGUUAUCAGUUGCACAGGUGGUGCAUGGUUGUCGUCAGCUCGUGUCGUGAGAUGUUGGGUUAAAUCCCGCAACGAGCGCAACCCUUAUUGUUAGUUACCAGCACGUAAUGGUGGGGACUUUAGCAAGACUGCCAGUGAUAAAUUGGAGGAAGGUGGGGACGACGUCAAAUCAUCAUGCCCCUUAUGACCUGGGCUACAAACAUGAUACAAUGGCUGUUACAAAGAGUAGCUGAA
rnacentral:rRNA from 1 species